GGCUGGUCCAAACGUAGGGAGUUAUCUCACUUGAUUGUUCGCAGUCAGUUACAGAUUGAAUUUGUUCUACUACUUUCCCCCCUUCCCACUACUGCACUUGACUAGUCUUAA
rnacentral:Y_RNA from 1 species